rnacentral:antisense_RNA from 1 species
UCUUAUGGUCGGGCGUGUGUGUUAGCCCUUUGGGCUAGCUGCUUUCCUUGUGGGGCGGUUCUUGGUCGAGCAUGCACGUCCGGCCACCAGA